rnacentral:rRNA from 1 species
UACAGAGGUCCCAAGCGUUGUUCGGAUUCACUGGGCGUAAAGGGUGCGUAGGCGGUCGGGUAAGUCUGAUGUGAAAUCUCACAGCUUAACUGUGAAACUGCAUUGGAUACUAUCCGGCUCGAGGAAUGGAGGGGGAGACUGGAAUACUUGGUGUAGCAGUGAAAUGCGUAGAUAUCAAGUGGAACACCAGUGGCGAAGGCGAACUUACUGGACUGUAACUGACGCUGAGGCAUGAAAGCGUGGGGAGCAAACAGG